rnacentral:rRNA from 1 species
CCUACGGGGGGCAGCAGUGAGGAAUAUUGGUCAAUGGCCGUAAGGCUGAACCAGCCAAGUCGCGUGAAGGAAGAAGGACCUAUGGUUUGUAAACCUCUUUUAUAGGGGAAUAAAGGUAUCCACGUGUGGAUAUUUGCAUGUACCCUAUGAAUAAGCAUCGGCUAACUCCGUGCCAGCAGCCGCGGUAAUACGGAGGAUGCGAGCGUUAUCCGGAUUUAUUGGGUUUAAAGGGUGCGUAGGUUGUCUUUUAAGUCCGCGGUGAAAGUUUGGGGCUCAACCAUAACAUUGCCGUUGAAACUGGAGGGCUUGAGUGUGUUUGAGGUAGGCGGAAUGCGUGGUGUAGCGGUGAAAUGCAUAGAUAUGACGAAGAACCCCGAUUGCGAAGGCAGCUUGCUGGAGCGGAACUGACGCUGAUGCACGAGAGCGCGGGUAUCGAACAGGAUUAGAUACCCUUGUAGUC